rnacentral:rRNA from 1 species
AGUGAACGCUGGCGGCAGGCCUAACACAUGCAAGUCGAACGGCAGCACAGUAAGAGCUUGCUCUUACGGGUGGCGAGUGGCGGACGGGUGAGGAAUACAUCGGAAUCUACUUUUUCGUGGGGGAUAUCGUAGGGAAACUUACGCUAAUACCGCAUACGACCUACGGGUGAAAGCAGGGGAUCUUCGGACCUUGUGCGAUUGUAUGAGCCGAUGUCGGAUUAGCUAGUUGGCGGGGUAAAGGCCCACCAAGGCGACGAUCCGUAGCUGGUCUGAGAGGAUGAUCAGCCACACUGGAACUGAGACACGGUCCAGACUCCUACGGGAGGCAGCAGUGGGGAAUAUUGGGCAAUGGGCGCAAGCCUGAUCCAGCCAUACCGCGUGAGUGAAGAAGGCCUUCGGGUUGUAAAGCCCUUUUGUUGGGAAAGAAAAGCAGCAGGUUAAUACCCCGCUGUUCUGACGGUACCCAAAGAAUAAGCACCGGCUAACUUCGUG